rnacentral:rRNA from 1 species
CCUAGUAACGGCGAGUGAAGCGGCAACAGCUCAAAUUUGAAAUCUGGCGUCUUUGGCGUCCGAGUUGUAAUUUGCAGAGGGCGCUUUGGCAUUGGCAGCGGUCCAAGUUCCUUGGAACAGGACGUCACAGAGGGUGAGAAUCCCGUACGUGGUCGCUAGCCUUUACCGUGUAAAGCCCCUUCGACGAGUCGAGUUGUUUGGGAAUGCAGCUCUAAAUGGGAGGUAAAUUUCUUCUAAAGCUAAAUACUGGCCAGAGACCGAUAGCGCACAAGUAGAGUGAUCGAAAGAUGAAAAGCACUUUGGAAAGAGAGUUAAAAAGCACGUGAAAUUGUUGAAAGGGAAGCGCUUGCAGCCAGACUUGCCUGUAGUUGCUCAUCUAGGUUUUUACCUAGUGCACUCUUCUAUAGGCAGGCCAGCAUCAGUUUGGGCGGUUGGAUAAAGGUCUCUGUCACGUACCUCUCUUCGGGGAGAUCUUAUAGGGGAGACGCCAUGCAACCAGCCUGGACUGAGGUCCGCGCAUCUGCUAGGAUGCUGGCGUAAUGGCUGUAAGCGGCCCGUCUUGAAACACGGACCAAGGAGUCUAACAUCUAUGCGAGUGUUUGGGUGUCAAGCCCGAGCGCGUAAUGAAAGUGAACGGAGGUGGGAACCUUUCGGGGUGCACCAUCGACCGAUCCUGAUGUCUUCGGAUGGAUUUGAGUAAGAGCAUAGCUGUUGGGACCCGAAAGAUGGUGAACUAUGCUUGAAUAGGGUGAAGCCAGAGGAAACUCUGGUGGAGGCUCGCAGCGGUUCUGACGUGCAAAUCGAUCGUCAAAUUUGGGCAUA